rnacentral:rRNA from 1 species
UAGGGAAUAUUAGUAAUGGGCGAAAGCCUGAACUAGCGACACCGCGUGUGCGAAGAAGGCCUUCGGGUUGUAAAGCACUUUUAGAGAGGAUGAGGAAGGACGGUACUCUCUGAAUAAGUCUCGGCUAACUACGUGCCAGCAGCCGCGGUAACACGUAGGAGGCAAACGUUAUCCGGAUUUACUGGGCGUAAAGCGCGUGUAGGUGGUUCUGUAAGUAGGGCGUGAAAGCUCCCGGCUCAACUGGGAGAGGCCGUUCUAAACUGCAGAGCGAGAGGAUGGUAGGGGGAGGGGGAAUUCGGGGUGGAGCGGUGGAAUGGGCAGAUAUCCGGAGGAACGCCGGUGGCGAAGGGGAAGUCCGGGGCCACUCCUGACACUCAGACGCGAAAGC